UUUGUUGCCCUAUCUUGGGACUUUUAAAUACCCAUUUCAGUUCCUGCAUGAAGGCAGUUCUGAUCCAGAGUGUAGCAGGACUCAUUUGCUCUCCUCUGACUUGGUUUUGGAGGGAUCUGUGAGAUUUUCCAGGGACAACUGUCAAAUUCUUCUCCCAGUCAGCUCACUGAGGUGAGGCAUUGCUGUCAGCACUGUUGGCAUGGGUAGGUUUCACCAAAUUUAUUAGGGAGAUGUUGGUGAAAGCAAUGAGCUAAUAUUGCAAUGAAAGGCAAUGGUGAAUACCUAUUCCCAGAAAAGUCUGGGAAAAGCAGUGCAGAGGAAAACUUGGAAAACUUUAUCUUGGGUGUCCAAGCAAGGAUUUGUAUGCCCACUUGCUUAAUUUUGCACCCAGAGGUCAAUGAUGGAUUUUACUUGGAUCUCUCAGCUUCAAAGAACAGAUCUGAAGCUUCUUUCUGCUUAAGGACAAGACAGUGACUCUGCAGGUACCAGAGACCUGGAAGAAGGAUUCCCAUUUUCCACCAUCCAUAUAAUUUCCAGAAAUCACUUUACAUUACAUUUUGAACUUAGGUGCUCACUUAAUUUCCCACAGAUCGCUGUUAGAGCACUUCAGUGCAUGGCCUGACUUUUUUUUUUUUUUUAACUUCUUUUUUUCUUUUUAACUUCUCCAGUUUUGACUCAGUCACUUGCCUGGGAGGUUGCUGUGUGAAGGUACAUGAAGAUGGACUGGAGCAUCUAAAUGGAGGCCCCCAAACAGGAGCAUUUUUCCCUUAACCUUCCACACCACUGGGAAUAAUAAUUUCUCACAGGGCUGUUGCACAGCUUGAUUCAUUAAGGCUUAUGAAGUGCUUUUAGCUCCAGCACUGAAAGGCUCAGUGCAAGUUAUUUUGGACUGCUCAGGUGUUAGGAGAAGAGGCAUUGCAGAAGGAAUACAAAUAAAUCAAGAGAAACUGCCCCUUCCUCCGUGCAUCCCCUGCCCCGCACUGCUCUCCAUCACCGUUGAUGUCAAACAGUUAAUUUACAAGCCCAGCACUUUACAAAGCCCCUGGAGCACCAAUUGUCCCUUUCUCAUGCAACAUCAGCUCCUCAAAACAGCCAGCUGAGUCUCCGGGGUCAGCCUGCUCCUGCCCUUCCCAAGGAAAUUCAGCCUCUCCCCAGAACCGUCUGUUGCACGGGAGCUGCCGGCCAUGCUGUUCCAGUUCAGGGGCUCCUGCAACAGAAAAGAUCAGCUGUUGGAGAACCCAUGGAAAGCCCUGGGGGAGAGCCAUGGCCGCAAGGACCAGGCGGCUCCAGGCACAGCUCUAGCAGAUGGUUUUGGUGGUGGAAGGCACAAGGGGAUUGCUCCCAGGAGCUGGUCAGGCAGUGAAGUCAGAAAUGAAGUGAUGCGUGCAGCCUGCCACGGCCUGGACAGCUCCCGGUGCUCCCCUCUGCACAGGCAGCCUGUGUGUGCACCCUGCUUUCCCUGUGCCUGGUCCAAAAUCUGCUGGAAUUGGGGAGCAGCCCUUUCCUGAGCUCUCUGAGCCUGCUGGAGUCAGAGCAAGCAGAGUGUGACCCCCAGUGCAGGCACCCUCUGUGAUCCUGCCCACUGCAGCAUCACCCUGACACCUCAGCAGGAGCUGGGGAGGCAAAUCUCAUCAUGCCAGGGACCAGCAGAGUAUUUCUCUUUAAUGUUUACAUAUUCUAAUGUAAAACCUUCACCUUGCACCCGUGGCAAAUAUUGCCAAAGUUGUGGAGUCAGGGAUGAAAACCUGU